GCUUGGAUGGUGGAACGGUAGACACUGGGGACUUAAAAUCCCCUGGGAGCAAUCCCGUGAGAGUUCGAAUCUCUCUCCGAGCA
rnacentral:tRNA from 1 species